rnacentral:piRNA from 1 species
UAAGUGGACUUUGAUGCUUUUGUAACUGU